AGAACCAACGUGAGCAAAAAUGAAAUGAGAAAGAUCCUGAUCUUAUUUUGUGUAUGCCAUUGAUUUGUUGGAGAAAAUGUGUCAUCCACCUUGCUGAAUCCUCCACAUUCUGAGUGUGGCUGCUUGCUGCUGGAGGAUUCCAUCUUGGGCCAGUGGAAACCAUCUUCACAUUGGAUCUUGUUUCCUACUGACGUGCAAGUGGUAUUGAGAGACGAUCAAGGAUCUGGAGUGCUCAUUGUUAUUGGUUUUCAAUAUUUCUAGGCAUUUUUAAGAAAA
rnacentral:lncRNA from 1 species